AUGUAGGAUAGUCUGCUUUUAAGUAGGGAUAAAUUACUCAAAAAACAUGAAUCCUGGAUAGUUGUCUCUUCUUGUUGUUUAAAUAAACUUCUUGU
rnacentral:pre_miRNA from 1 species